GAUCAGAGUGAGAGACCUUCAGGGCUUAUGUGCCCCACACCAGGUGUUUCCCCCUCUAACAAGGGAGGUAAAGAUGAUGCCAGCCUCAAUCCCUCCUAGACUCUACCAUGGCACAGUCCAUUAACAGAGCAUUAACCUCUGCGAUGGUGGUCAUGUCAUCCUCUAUCACUCAGUCCAUAACAGAGGCAUUGAUACAGACACAGACUAGUGUCAUGCAGAAC